rnacentral:rRNA from 1 species
UACGGAGGGUGCGAGCGUUGUCCGGAAUCACUGGGCGUAAAGGGCGCGUAGGCGGUUCGUUAAGUUGCUGGUGAAAUCCCGGGGCUCAACUCCGGGGCUGCCAGUAAGACUGGCGGGCUAGAGCACGGUAGAGGCAGAUGGAAUUCCCGGUGUAGCGGUGGAAUGCGUAGAGAUGCGGAGGAACACCGAUGGCGAAGGCAGCCCCCUGGGCCAAUACUGACGCUCAGGCACGAAAGCGUGGGGAGCAAACAGG